rnacentral:rRNA from 1 species
CAGCAGNCCGCGGUAAUACCGGCGGUCCCAAGUGGCGACCACUUUUAUUGGGUCUAAAACAUCCGUAGCCGGUGUAAAAAGUUUCUUGUGAAAUCGUUGCGCUCAACGUAACGACGGGCGAGAAAUACUCUUAUACUAGAGACCGGGAGACGUAAUGAGUAUAGUUAGGGUAACGGUAAAAUGUUCUAAUCCUGACUAGACUAACAAUGGCGAAGGCAUAUUACGAGAACGGUUCUGACGGUGAGGGAUGAAGGCUAGGGGCGCAAAAGGGAUUAGAUACCCCUGUAGUCCUAGCUGUAAACGCUGCACACUAAACAUUGUGAUCUCCUCGGGAGGUUGCAGUGCUGUAGGGAAGCCGUUAAGUGUGCUACCUGGGGAGUACAGCCGCAAGGUCGAAACUUAAAGGAAUUGGCGGGGGAGCACUACAAGGAGUGACGCGUGCGGUUUAAUUAGAUUCCACUCCGUGAACCUCACCAGGAGCGACAGCAGGAUGAAGGUCAGUCUGAAGGGCUUACCUGACACGCUGAGAGAAGGUGCAUGGCCGCCGUCAGCCUGUGUCGUGAGAUGAUCUGUUAAAUCAGGUAACAGGCAAGACCCGCGUGGGUAGUUGCUAUUUGGUAAAAAAGCACACUACACAGACUGCUUCCGUAAGGAAGAGGAAGGUGCGGGCAACGGUAGGUAGUACGCCUCGAAUCCCCUGGGCUACACGCGCGCGGCAAUGGCUGUAGCAAUGAGAUGCAACUCCGAAAGGAGAAGCUAAUCCCCUAAAUACAGUCUCGGUUCAGAUUGAAUCUUGCAACCCAGAUUCAUGACGCUGGAAUUCCUAGUAAUCGGGUGUUAGCAUCGCCCGGUGAAUAUUGUCCCUGCCCCUUGCACAC